UUCUGGGAUGAUUGACAGAUUGAGAGCUCUUUCUUUAUUCGGUGGAUGUUGGUGCACGUCUAUUUUUAGUUGGUGGAGCGAUUUGUCUGGUUAAUUCCUAUAACCAACGAGACUCUAGUCUAUUAAUUAUGCGCAUGGUUCUCUGCACCUUGCACCCUUCUCAGAGGGACAAGGGGCUCCUAGCCGCUCGAAACAAAGGAGCAAUAACAGGUCUGAGAUGCCCUUAGAU
rnacentral:rRNA from 1 species